CGGACGGGUGAGUAAUGUCUGGGAAACUGCCCGAUGGAGGGGGAUAACUACUGGAAACGGUAGCUAAUACCGCAUAACGUCGCAAGACCAAAGAGGGGGACCUUAGGGCCUCUUGCCAUCGGAUGUGCCCAGAUGGGAUUAGCUAGUAGGUGGGGUAACGGCUCACCUAGGCGAUGAUCCCUAGCUGGUCUGAGAGGAUGACCAGCCACACUGGAACUGAGACACGGUCCAG
rnacentral:rRNA from 1 species